rnacentral:rRNA from 1 species
GACAGAGGGUGCAAACGUUGUUCGGAUUUACUGGGCGUAAAGCGCGUGUAGGCGGCUUUGCAAGUCGGAUGUGAAAGCCCACGGCUCAACCGUGGAAGUGCAUCCGAAACUGCAUGGCUGGAGUCUCGGAGAGGAAGGUGGAAUGCUUGGUGUAGAGGUGAAAUUCGUAGAUAUCAAGCAGAACACCUGCGGCGAAGGCGGCCUUCUGGACGAUGACUGACGCUGAGACGCGAAAGCAUGGGGAGCGAACAGG